UAUUCUCAGAGAUAAAAAGGAUGCAUAAAUCUGUGCAAAUUAAACGUAAUGGAUAAGUCCAACUUGAAAAGUAAACAAAUGAGUGAUAAAAUAUGAAUAAUUUUUUUAUAUUAAGUUGGAUGUAUUUUUGGAUAAUAACAUAAAACUGGAGAUUCAGAUAUUUUCUAUUUUCCAGAUUCUGCCCCAAGUAAUAAAAUGCUAUUUACCGUGGUGAUGUCCUUCUAAUUUCAUAUUCUAUUACUUUCCUCUGUCAUCUCUUCUAGGAAUAAUGAUUUUUUGCUAACCUAGUUGAAUCUUCUGAGGUUUGAACCAACUGUCUUUACUCUUUUGAAUGAGUUUAAUUUGCACUGCUACUUUUUCUUUUUGCCAACUCUUUGAAGAUUGCAAUCAACUGCUUUUUGGCCGUCACUGUACAUUUUCAAGUUACUGAUUCACUUGCUAUGUGGUAUAUAAAUGAAGCUUACAAAUGCAAUUUCUUUGGUUCUUUGGUUUUUUUUUCCUCUUCCCCUUCCCUAUCUGAUGUCCCAGCUAUUCUAACUCUACAUUCACAAUAUCUUGGCCCAUUAGCAGCUAGGAUCUUUUUUGAGCACAGCGAACUAUAUUUCCUUGCUCUAAUGAAGCACGCAGAAUGUAACUGCUAUCUCCUCAGCAGGCUUCCCUUUUUAAGGAGGGCAGAGCAAAUGUUCUCUGAGAGCAGAGAGUUCUCUUAACGAGCUCUAAGGGACUGUCCACACAGGAUGGCUGCAUCCAUAUGAAAUGAAACAGUUCACUUCUGCUGGGUCAGCUGCUCGUGUCUGCACAGAGCCCUUCUGGCCUUUGGAAUGGGCAUGUUGUCUCUUGUUUUGAGCGUUGGUUAGUUUAGUGCAUUGGUGACUGGAUCACACAGUCAGCUCUGCUUUCGAACACCAUUUUGCAUUCCCCGAAAUGGAAGACUCACAGAUUUUGAAAAGUUGACAGACUGGGUGAAGGUCAUAAAAAAUCCUGAUUAGAAAUAGAAAUUGAAUGCAGAAGCCAUCUCUGAAUGAAGUUUCUUAAAGAUGUGCUGUUACAUGGAAGGUUGGGAGACAAAGCUUGGGCUGUUUUUUGCUGUAGCCUGGGGCAAGGGCAUGGAUUAGGGACAUAAUUUCAGGUGAAGUCUGGGAGCCAGAAUCCCACCUGAAUGUGGAAUUUUUAAAAUAGCUAGGCGAGGACCUGAAACUAACACAACUUUAUAAAUCAACUAUACUC
rnacentral:lncRNA from 1 species